UGCGUGUGUGUGUGUGUGUGUGUGUGUGAGAGAGAGAGUGCCAUUCUGUCUCAUAGUAUAAACACAAACUUCACUCUUUCAAAAAACGUCUUUAAUACACAAAAACGUACAGAAUAUAAACAUCAAUAGUAUUCAUGUAUUAAACAAAUAGCACAUGUACUUAUAAACACAAUUUCUCGCCCAUCGUUUUUUUAAAGCACCAAUUCACUGACAUCAUUCCUUGAGAUUAUAAAAGUUUACUAGCGUUAGUCUGACCAAUCAAUCAAAAACCUAAAUAAUUAUAUUCCUAAUUGUGCCUAUAUUCUAAUUACCCAUAAUUCAUUAAGAAUCUCCUCGACUCCCUCUUGUUUAUGACCCUGUUUAUGUUGGCUCCAGAUAGAAGUCGCCCUUAGGUACAGAUCUAGGAUCAGUUUUCCCUCACCCAAAGGACAAUGCAACAACGUCUCCUCUUCACCCCCUGCUGACAUCACCAAUUCAAGUCCUUAUCCAGUCAUUAGGCAGAAUAGUCUAUGUAAUAUUAUGUCAAAUAGGGUCUGUUUCAUACAUGUACACAUGUGGAGGCCAGUAGGAAUGUGUUUCAUCCCCCUGAGACCCUCUCAGACAGUGAGGUUACAGAUCAGCCACGUGUGGAGGCCAGUAGGAGUGUGUUUCAUCCCCCUGAGACCCUCUCAGACAGUGAGGUUACAGAUCAGCCACGUGUGGAGGCCAGUAGGAGUGUGUUUCAUCCCCCUGAGACCCUCUCAGACAGUGAGGUUACAGAUCAGCCACGUGUGGUGGCCAGUGGGAGUGUGUUUCAUCCCCCUGAGACCCUCUCAGACAGUGAGGUUACAGAUCAGCCACGUGUGGUGGCCAGUAGGAGUGUGUUUCACAUGUUUCCCAUGACAAUAAAGCCCCUUGGAUUGAAUUAAGAGAGAGAGAGAGAGAGACAGACACACAGAGAGAGACACAGAGAGAGACACAGAGAGAGAGAGAGAGACACAGAGAGAGAGACACACAGAGAGAGACACACAGAGAGAGACACAGAGAGAGACACAGAGAGAGAGAGAGAGAGAGAGAGAGAGAGACACAGAGAGAGAGACACAGAGAGAGACACAGAGAGAGAGACACAGAGAGAGACACAGAGAGAGAGAGAGAGAGACACACAGAGAGAGAGACACAGAGAGAGACACACAGAGAGACAGAGAGAGAGAGACACACAGAGAGAGACACACAGAGAGAGACACACAGAGAGAGACACAGAGAGAGAGAGAGAGAGAGAGAGAGAGAGAGAGAGAGAGAGAGAGAAAGAGAGGGAGAGAGAGAGAGAGAGAGAGAGAGAGAGAGAGAGAGAGGGAGAAAGAGAGGGAGAGAGAGAGAGAGAUAGGGAGAAAGAGAGGGAGAGAGAGGAAGAAAGUAUAGUGGAGUAACUUGUUAAAGGUCUGUGUGUGUCUGCACCUGUAUAACUCCUGGAACACUAACAACUGGUCCUUCCAUUAAACCAGUUGUGCUUUACAAACUAUCCCUCUGAUACACUGAGUAGGCAGCCUUUCCCUUUAACAAACUGGAACUGGUUUAUACUGUGUAACACAGUGAGGGGAAUAGACAAACACUACAGCUUGGUUGGAGGUAGAAACCAGAGCUGUGUUACCCCCUGUCUUUGACCCUGUGUGAUUAAGUCCCUGAUACAUGCAUACCAUUACUCAACCUCUAUUUCUAGUCCUUCCUCUCUCUCUCUCUCUCUCUCUCUCUCUCUCUCUCUCUCUCCUCUUUCUCUCUCUCUCUCUCUCUCCUUUCAGGCCCUCUCUGUGUGUGUUUGUGUUGGCAACAGCCUCUUAAGUGCGGUAGGUAAAAUCCCUACAUCCAACAAGCCUGCCAAGAAAGCCACACACACACACACACACGUGCGGGCACGCCAAACACACAAAGAGAGAAGGAGAGCCAAGAAAGCUUCACUCAGCUCAACCUCAGGGGGGAGAAGCUUUAGAAAACCCCAGGUCCUUUCUCCUCCCACACAAUAAGAUGUGCUGCUGUUACUGUACGUUAGUCGUUGUUAUCAUGCAGCUCUUACUAAUAUACUGUGUCUGAAAGGAGGAUCACAUUUACAUAUCUGGUUUACUUUAGGCCAGAGAAUGUUCCCACAGGAAAAACAACGCUGUUUUACAGGAGUCGGCAGCUCUUCCUCAGUUCAUGCUACUCUACUGUAAUGUUUACAUUAGUUAGUUAGUUUGUUAGUUUACACUAGAAAGGGCCGAUCUUAGAGAUGUCCUAACUUGAGGGGUCAUGACCCCACUCUCCCAUCUGGGAUACAUUCUCAAAGACUUUCUGCCUUACCCUUUCUAUCUUUCUAUUUCCCUCUCUCCUUCUCUCUCAUGAGAAUGCAGUCUCCUCUCGCUCUCUUCCAUUCACCCCUUUCUCCCUUUCUCUCAUCCUCCUUCUUUCUCCUUCUCUCUCAUCCUCCUUCUUUCCCUCUCCUUUUACCCCUUUUCGCUCCCUAUUUUUCUGUCCUCUCUACUAUUCUCAUCUCCCUCUCUGUCUCCUUCUUUCCCCUUCUCUCAGGGUAGUUCGGUCAGUCAGAGGUCUGGUUGUCAUUAGCUUCCUGUUACUGACUUAAAGAAAAACAGCCCCGACAGAGAGAGAGAGGGACGUACGGACAGACAGACAGAGAGAGAGAGAGAGAGAGAGAGAGAGGGAGGGACGGAAGGACAGAGGAUGAGAGAGAGAGGGAGAGAGAGAGCAAAAGAGGGAGGUCAGGGAGAGACAGAGAGAGACAGAGAUGGAGAGAGAGGGAGAGAGAGCAAGAGAGGGAGAGGAAGAGCAAGAGAGAGGGAGAGGAAGAGCAAGAGAGGGAGAGGAAGAGCAAGAGAGAGGGAGAGGAAGAGCAAGAGAGAGGGAGAGGAAGGAAGAGAGAGAGAGAGAGGAGAGAGAAGAGCAAGAGAGAGGGAGAGGAAGAGCAAGAGAGGGAGGAAGAGCAAGAGAGAGAGGGAGAGGGGAAAGAG
ensembl:lncRNA